UACGAAGGGGGCUAGCGUUGUUCGGAAUUAUUGGGCGUAAGGGGAGCGUAGGCGGUUCGGCAAGUCUCUAGUGAAAUCUCUGGGCUCAACCCAGAGUCUGCUGGGGAAACUGCCGGGCUUGAGUAUGGGAGAGGUGAGUGGAAUUGCAGGUGUAGCGGUGAAAUGCGUAGAUAUCUGCAGGAACACCCGUGGCGAAAGCGGCGCGCUGGACCACUACUGACGCUGAGGAACGAAAGCUAGGGGAGCAAACAGG
rnacentral:rRNA from 1 species